AGCCCAGAGCCUGAAUCAGUGUGUGUGUUAGUGGAAGCGUCUGGAAAGGCGCGCGAUACAGGGUGACAGCCCCGUACACAAAAAUGCACAUGCUGUGAGCUCGAUGAGUAGGGCGGGACACGUGGUAUCCUGUCUGAAUAUGGGGGGACCAUCCUCCAAGGCUAAAUACUCCUGACUGACCGAUAGUGAACCAGUACCGUGAGGGAAAGGCGAAAAGAACCCCGGCGAGGGGAGUGAAAAAGAACCUGAAACCGUGUACGUACAAGCAGUGGGAGCACGCUUAGGCGUGUGACUGCGUACCUUUUGUAUAAUGGGUCAGCGACUUAUAUUCUGUAGCAAGGUUAACCGAAUAGGGGAGCCGAAGGGAAACCGAGUCUUAACUGGGCGUUAAGUUGCAGGGUAUAGACCCGAAACCCGGUGAUCUAGCCAUGGGCAGGUUGAAGGUUGGGUAACACUAACUGGAGGACCGAACCGACUAAUGUUGAAAAAUUAGCGGAUGACUUGUGGCUGGGGGUGAAAGGCCAAUCAAACCGGGAGAUAGCUGGUUCUCCCCGAAAGCUAUUUAGGUAGCGCCUCGUGAAUUCAUCUCCGGGGGUAGAGCACUGUUUCGGCAAGGGGGUCAUCCCGACUUACCAACCCGAUGCAAACUGCGAAUACCGGAGAAUGUUAUCACGGGAGACACACGGCGGGUGCUAACGUCCGUCGUGAAGAGGGAAACAACCCAGACCGCCAGCUAAGGUCCCAAAGUCAUGGUUAAGUGGGAAACGAUGUGGGAAGGCCCAGACAGCCAGGAUGUUGGCUUAGAAGCAGCCAUCAUUUAAAGAAAGCGUAAUAGCUCACUGGUCGAGUCGGCCUGCGCGGAAGAUGUAACGGGGCUAAACCAUGCACCGAAGCUGCGGCAGCGACGCUUAUGCGUUGUUGGGUAGGGGAGCGUUCUGUAAGCCUGUGAAGGUGUGCUGUGAGGCAUGCUGGAGGUAUCAGAAGUGCGAAUGCUGACAUAAGUAACGAUAAAGCGGGUGAAAAGCCCGCUCGCCGGAAGACCAAGGGUUCCUGUCCAACGUUAAUCGGGGCAGGGUGAGUCGACCCCUAAGGCGAGGCCGAAAGGCGUAGUCGAUGGGAAACAGGUUAAUAUUCCUGUACUUGGUGUUACUGCGAAGGGGGGACGGAGAAGGCUAUGUUGGCCGGGCGACGGUUGUCCCGGUUUAAGCGUGUAGGCUGGUUUUCCAGGCAAAUCCGGAAAAUCAAGGCUGAGGCGUGAUGACGAGGCACUACGGUGCUGAAGCAACAAAUGCCCUGCUUCCAGGAAAAGCCUCUAAGCAUCAGGUAACAUCAAAUCGUACCCCAAACCGACACAGGUGGUCAGGUAGAGAAUACCAAGGCGCUUGAGAGAACUCGGGUGAAGGAACUAGGCAAAAUGGUGCCGUAACUUCGGGAGAAGGCACGCUGAUAUGUAGGUGAAGUCCCUCGCGGAUGGAGCUGAAAUCAGUCGAAGAUACCAGCUGGCUGCAACUGUUUAUUAAAAACACAGCACUGUGCAAACACGAAAGUGGACGUAUACGGUGUGACGCCUGCCCGGUGCCGGAAGGUUAAUUGAUGGGGUCAGCGCAAGCGAAGCUCUUGAUCGAAGCCCCGGUAAACGGCGGCCGUAACUAUAACGGUCCUAAGGUAGCGAAAUUCCUUGUCGGGUAAGUUCCGACCUGCACGAAUGGCGUAAUGAUGGCCAGGCUGUCUCCACCCGAGACUCAGUGAAAUUGAACUCGCUGUGAAGAUGCAGUGUACCCGCGGCAAGACGGAAAGACCCCGUGAACCUUUACUAUAGCUUGACACUGAACAUUGAGCCUUGAUGUGUAGGAUAGGUGGGAGGCUUAGAAGUGUGGACGCCAGUCUGCAUGGAGCCGACCUUGAAAUACCACCCUUUAAUGUUUGAUGUUCUAACGUUGACCCGUAAUCCGGGUUGCGGACAGUGUCUGGUGGGUAGUUUGACUGGGGCGGUCUCCUCCUAAAGAGUAACGGAGGAGCACGAAGGUUGGCUAAUCCUGGUCGGACAUCAGGAGGUUAGUGCAAUGGCAUAAGCCAGCUUGACUGCGAGCGUGACGGCGCGAGCAGGUGCGAAAGCAGGUCAUAGUGAUCCGGUGGUUCUGAAUGGAAGGGCCAUCGCUCAACGGAUAAAAGGUACUCCGGGGAUAACAGGCUGAUACCGCCCAAGAGUUCAUAUCGACGGCGGUGUUUGGCACCUCGAUGUCGGCUCAUCACAUCCUGGGGCUGAAGUAGGUCCCAAGGGUAUGGCUGUUCGCCAUUUAAAGUGGUACGCGAGCUGGGUUUAGAACGUCGUGAGACAGUUCGGUCCCUAUCUGCCGUGGGCGCUGGAGAACUGAGGGGGGCUGCUCCUAGUACGAGAGGACCGGAGUGGACGCAUCACUGGUGUUCGGGUUGUCAUGCCAAUGGCACUGCCCGGUAGCUAAAUGCGGAAGAGAUAAGUGCUGAAAGCAUCUAAGCACGAAACUUGCCCCGAGAUGAGUUCUCCCUGACUCCUUGAGAGUCCUGAAGGAACGUUGAAGACGACGACGUUGAUAGGCCGGGUGUGUAAGCGCAGCGAUGCGUUGAGCUAACCGGUACUAAUGAACCGUGAGGCUUAACCUUACAACGCCGAAG
rnacentral:rRNA from 1 species